rnacentral:rRNA from 1 species
AGUGAACGCUGGCGGUAGGCCUAACACAUGCAAGUCGAACGGCAGCACAGUAAGAGCUUGCUCUUACGGGUGGCGAGUGGCGGACGGGUGAGGAAUACAUCGGAAUCUACUUUUUCGUGGGGGAUAACGUAGGGAAACUUACGCUAAUACCGCAUACGACCUACGGGUGAAAGCAGGGGAUCUUCGGACCUUGCGCGAUUGAAUGAGCCGAUGUCGGAUUAGCUAGUUGGCGGGGUAAAGGCCCACCAAGGCGGCGAUCCGUAGCUGGUCUGAGAGGAUGAUCAGCCACACUGGAACUGAGAAACGGUCCAGACUCCUACGGGAGGCAGCAGUGGGGAAUAUUGGACAAUGGGCGCAAGCCUGAUCCAGCCAUACCGCGUGGGUGAAGAAGGCCUUCGGGUUGUAAAGCCCUUUUGUUGGGAAAGAAAAGCAGCAGGUUAAUACCCCGCUGUUCUGACGGUACCCAAAGAAUAAGCACCGGCUAACUUCGUG